AAUAGGCUACUUGCACAAGCACUUCCUGAUUCGCCGUAAUACAGCUCAUCAGCUUCCGGUUCCAAGAUGGCAACGUUCUACACCCGGUGUUUACAGGAGCUGCCGACAAUAAAUAUCACAAAUGUGCAUCGUUUAUGUCGGGAAACAAAAACUCCGACAAGCAGAUUGGAGAAGGGGUUUAGGCUGUAUGCUUCGACCUACAUUCACAGCUACGAAGCCUCAGUCACCUCCCUUUUACCUGUAUUGUGACUUGUGCCACUACGCAACGGUUGCUCUACCGGAUGGCGUCGUAACUAAUCCCUGGCACUCAGCUGACAGGUUUGUUUAGUUUCCUCUUUGGGUGCAGUUCAAUAACUGCACCAACUUACUGUAAGACAACCUGAUGUGGGUGGAUAUCCAAUGCCCUAAUGUGUUCUCUGUGCUCUCUUUUUAGAGUAGUGUUCUUGUCCGGGCCGUAUCUUUGGGAGGCGCGGUUUGGUGGUUUGCCGUGUACUUGCAUGUAGAUAAGUAGGGUGUUACCUGUUCAAUUCAUACAUUUUUACAAUUGUUUCUUAAUAGUAUUUUGUUCUAGGACCAGCAUUGGUGGAGUUGGAGACGGUCACAUUCUGGCGCUGGCACUUCAGUGCUCCUAUUUUCAACUCAUAGAAUAAUAACAUGACUUUUUUCAACCAUUUAAAAAUAAACUUUUGUAGACUUGAACUGGAAACACGUCUCUGUAAGUCUUUACACAAAUCUGUAUUAUAAAUGUUGUUUGUUUUUGUACUAUUGGUGUGGUCACAUUCAUAUAUAUAAAUUCUGAUAAGACAUGGACAUCCCCAACUCCAAUUACACCAUCUCUCAACAUGCCACUACUUGUGUCCUAUUAAUCAUUCACAGACCUAUUAAGAAAUAAUUUGGUACAGUACUAUAAAUUAAUCUGUGACGUAAAGCUAUUUUCUAACCAACAAUGUGCCUGACUGACACAUAUCCCCGUCACGUAGGGACUAGGCUAAUAACAGACUAAUACAAAAAAUGUGACUGUGAAAAAGUGACUUCCCUUGUGUAAAUUCGGAUGUCUGCGUCGGAGCCAGCAAACCGCUGCAGUCCAAACUCUCGCUGGAGACGUAACUCCUGUAGCUCCUUUCUCAGCUCCUGUACUUCAUUUGAGACGCUUUCAGCAGCGGAUGCGGACAUAUCCAUGGCAGUCGGUUCAGAGAGAGCAGUAGUCUUGAUCGUUGAAUAGGAGAUCAACUUCAUCUUCCGGAGGGGCAGUUUCGACGAACCGAUCAACUCUCUCCCACACGCCGCGCCUUGGGGUUUCGACUGUAUACU